UGUAUGAUGAUAAAACUGUCAUGUUGCUCGAAGAUUUUUCGAUGUGAGCGCAAACGAUUUCUCAAUAGACUACAACGGUAUCUGAUU
rnacentral:ncRNA from 22 species